AGAGUUUGAUCCUGGCUCAGAUUGAACGCUGGCGGCAUGCUUUACACAUGCAAGUCGAACGGCAGCACGGGCUUCGGCCUGGUGGCGAGUGGCGAACGGGUGAGUAAUGCGUCGGAACGCGCCGAGUAGUGGGGGAUAACGCAGCGAAAGCUGUGCUAAUACCGCAUACGUACUGAGGUAGAAAGUGGGGGACCUUCGGGCCUCACGCUAUUCGAGCGGCCGACGUCUGAUUAGCUAGUUGGUGGGGUAAAGGCUCACCAAGGCGACGAUCAGUAGCGGGUCUGAGAGGAUGAUCCGCCACACUGGGACUGAGACACGGCCCAGACUCCUACGGGAGGCAGCAGUGGGGAAUUUUGGACAAUGGGCGCAAGCCUGAUCCAGCCAUGCCGCGUGUCUGAAGAAGGCCUUCGGGUUGUAAAGGACUUUUGUCCGGGAGCAAAGCCUACUUGUUA
rnacentral:rRNA from 1 species